rnacentral:lncRNA from 1 species
CAUUUCCAUUGUUCAUUUUACAGGACUAGGUGAUAUAGUGAUGCCGGGGCUGUUGCUGUGUUUCGUGUUGCGCUACGACGCGUACAAGAAGGCAACGCUGGUGUGCCAAAUGGGACAAGUCCCCGGACCUAGAUCAAUGAGCUCCCGGUUGACGUACUUCCACUGCUCGCUUUUGGGCUACUUCUUGGGCUGCUGACGGCGACGGUGUCGGCGGAGGUGUUCCAAGGCGGCGCAGCCCGCGCUGCUCUACCUCGUGCCCUUCACGCUGCUGCCGCUCCUCACCAUGGCAUACGUCAAGGGUGAUCUCAGAAGGAUGUGGAGCGAGCCGUUCAUCGCGCCGAACGGCAAGAACAGUGCCGACUUCGACGUGUGACUGCGCUUGGCUGCGUCCCCUGCCGCUGCGCAUGCGCACCGCCCCUGCCCCUCGCCCCGCCGGCUGAACGCAUCACCACCACGCAGUGUACAGUUACACACGUGCUCCAUACACACACUCGCAGACAACCUACGCUGAAAUAAAUACACCUGGAAAAUCCAAAGAGAACUCUAUGAAAUCUUACUCCAACUGGUUUGCUUAAAAAGUGCAGUGCUGUUAAAUCCUUGCCACCAGUGCGUUUGAGAAUUUUACCGUGUAUCAUUUAUAGUGUUGCGAGAUAAUUAACGGGCGCGUAACUAACUGUACUUGUGCAUUCGGCGGGAUAUGUGAAUUGAUGUGUUUACGUUAUAAUCUUAAAGACAUAAGAUGUAUGUUUUAGGUUAGAUGAUACGCUUUUGUUUCCUUUACAAAUACAUAAACGGAAUGUUACAUCACAGGGUAACUUGUACAUUGCGUCAAAGUACUGAGAAUGUACAGUAUUGCAACUGACUGUUUACACUUCUCCAUGUUGAAUUUUAUGUCACGAAUUUAUAUUAUUUUUCAUCAUUUUUAUACUCAGCGCAUUUGAGAGAUAGUAGAUGUAAGGAAUAGUACAUUUAUUUUGGUAAUGAAUUUUAACCAUUCUGCCAAAGUUGAUCUAUCGUGUCUGAAAAUACGAAAUAAGAUGAUAUUAUAAAUGUCUGAAUGUUUGUUUAACCACAUUGUUUGUAUAUUGUAGACACAUGCACAUUAUUUCUAGGACUUAUAAUACUGUUAAUUCUCAGUAUAACGAAAUGUAAGUGAAGAAUAUCCGCAGCACGGGCGCGUCACAGCGCACAGGGCGGGCCGCUCCGGCCGUGUGCCGCGCUAGAUACAGGACCAGUGCACAUUGUUUCCUUUUAACAUUAAUAAUUAUGACAGUAGUAUAAUUACUACAUGUAAAAUACUCAGCAAACGCUUUUGAUGAUUUUUUACAAACUUUUUUCUACUUUUUGUAUUUGUCAUACUUUAGAUUGUCCUCUCGGAUGACUACUUACGUCGUUUUUAAUUGUAACUGUUCAGGCAUGAACUUAUUAUUUUUGUAAGUCUCAAAACAUUAACCCGAGAGGGCGCCACUACUCGUUUUAAUUUUUUACACUAUAUCCCCACAAAAUGAACAAACAAGUAGACUAAGAUCUUUAUGAAUCUCACUUGUGUAUGUGAAUGUUUCGUUAGCCUGUUCAUGAAUAUGUUUCAAUGUGAUGAAAACUUUGUUGUCACUGCCUUAGACUGAUGUUUUCAAUGAAGAUUAUUUCUAUGUGUUGAAUGGAGUAUUAUAGACAAACUGUUAGUCUAAAUAUAUAGGUUAUAAGCUACUAUUGUUGUUAUUAUUAUAACAACUGUAUUGUUGUUGUAAAUUAUUUGAUUGAAUUUAAUGGAAGAUGUUAACAUUCUACAUCAUAAGGAGUAUACUUGGUAUGUAUGUGUGAUUUUUUAUUUUUUAAGUACUUUUUUAACAAUUCAAUUUUUGUAUUUACUUUUGAAUAGAUAAUUUUUUACUAAAAGGUUAUAACUGAUAAGUUAACGCGUUUGAGUAACAUGGAACAGUAUUUUUAUGACAAAAGUGAUGUGAUUUUAUUGAGGCUUAUUUGGCAAAAGUAACACAUGUUUUCAGUUAUGAUUCGCUUGUUGUACUUUCUAAUGAUAAUUAUUGUUUUCUCAGGGAAGUUGUAAAGUGUAUUCAAGAAAUAGUUUUUGUGUAUUUUAUAGAUAUUUAUAUAAAUAGUCACAGAACUCUUUUCCAUUGAUGUACAUACAUUAAAGAUAUUUAAGAUUGAUGUUCCAGUGCGUCAGACCAUCACCAUGUUGAGAAUAUUAUUGUAAAUAAUUAAUGUUCACACAAAUUCAUUACCUAUCAAAAACUGGGAAAAUGCAUUUAAUAUUUUUAUAUGUAUCUGCAGAAACAUGUUACUAAGAAUACUUAAUAAAAAUAUUAGAUGGAA